UACGUAGGUGGCAAGCGUUGUCCGGAUUUACUGGGCGUAAAGAGCGCGCAGGCGGUCGUUCAAGUCGCGUGUGAAAGCCCCCGGCUCAACUGGGGAGGGUCACGCGAUACUGAUCGACUCGAAGGCAGGAGAGGGUAGUGGAAUUCCCGGUGUAGUGGUGAAAUGCGUAGAUAUCAGGAGGAACACCGGUGGCGAAGGCGGCUUUCUGGGCCUUACCUGACGCUGAGGAGCGAAAGCUGGGGGAGCAAACAGG
rnacentral:rRNA from 1 species